rfam:Stegodyphus mimosarum contig55029, whole genome shotgun sequence.
GCCUUUGUGGCGUAGUGGUCAGCACGCUCAACACGAAACCGAGACGUUCGUGGUUCGAUUCCCGGCGAAGGCG